CAAAGAGUCGAGUUGUUUGGGAAUGCAGCUCAAAAUGGGUGGUAAGCUCCAUCUAAAGCUAAAUAUUGGCGAGAGACCGAUAGCGAACAAGUACCGUGAGGGAAAGAUGAAAAGCACUUUGGAAAGAGAGUUAAACAGUACGUGAAAUUGUUGAAAGGGAAACGCUUGAAGUUAGUCGCGUCUUACUUGACUCAGCCUUGCCUCGGCUUGGUGUAUUUCAUGUGAGACGGGUCAACAUCGAUUUUGACCGGCAGAGAAGGGGAGCGAGAAUGUGGCAUUCUUCGGAGUGUGUUAUAGCUUACUCUCAUAUGUGUCGGUUGGGAUCGAGGCCCGCAGCGCGCCCUUGUGGCCGGAGGUUCGCCUUACGUUACGCGCUUAGGAUGUUGGCAUAAUGGCUUUAAGCGACCCGUCUUGAAACACGGACCAAGGAGUCUAACAUGCUCGCGAGUGUUAGGGUGGAAAACCCUUGCGCAGAAUGAAAGUAAAAGUUGGGAACCUCCGCAAGGGGGUGCACCGACGCCCGGCCCAGAAGUUUACGGACGGUGCUGCGGUAGAGCGCGUAUGUGGGACCCGAAAGAUGGUGAACUAUGCCUGAAUAGGGCGAAGCCAGGGGAAACCCUGUGUGGAGGCUCG
rnacentral:rRNA from 1 species